GGACCUGCUGCAGCUGGGAGGGGAGCUGGCCCAGACAUCAUGAGCUAUCCAGGAGGCAGGCCUGGGACUGAUCACGGACCUGCGGCUGGCAGAGAGCCGGACCGAGGCAGCCCUGGAGAAGCAGGCCCAGCUAGAGGAGCAGCUGCAGGACAAGAUGCUCCACGAGAAGGACCUGGCCCAGCAGCAGAUGCAAAGCGACCUGGAUGAGGCUGACCUCAGUGCCACAGUGACAGAGCUGGGCCUGGCAGUGGAGCGUCUUCAGAAGCAGAAUCUGGAGAAGGAUCAGGUCAACAAGGACCUCACCGAGAAGCUUGAGGCCCUGGCCAUCCUGUGCUAUGUUGAGAGCGGCGUCCAGCUGAGCGUCUCCAAGUGUCUCCGAGCCGAGAGCCUGCGGGGGGGCUCUCGGGCCAGUGGACCCCGUCCCCACCGCGGCGCUCCUAGCCAGGCCGAGGUCGUUCGCCCCGCCGAGGCCCCUCUCCCCGGCCUGCUCAGACUCCUCCAAGCUCGCCCUGAUCCACUCCGCCCUGCACAAGUGCCAGCCGCAGGUCCAGAACAUGGGUGGGCGCUAUGAGGCAAGCCAGGACCUGCUGGGCACCCUGCGGAAGCAGCUUAGCGACAGCGAGAGUGAGCGGCGGGCCCUAGAGGAACAACUGCAGCGCCUGCGGGAAAAGACCAACUGCGCCAUGCAGGCCCACGAGGACGCCCAGCGCGAGGUGCAGCGGCUGCGGAGUGCCAACGAGCUCCUGAGCAGGUGCCAAGGAGGUCUGAGCUGGGGGGUGCUGAAGAAUAAAUCAGCGUCUGGGCAUAACACCAGUUGAGCCUUAUGCAUGUGGUCUGCACUAAUAUGGUCGCCCUGAGCUGCAUGUGCCUAUUAACAUUUUAUUUAUUAUUUUAUUAUUUACUAAUGAGAUGGAGUCUCGUUCUGUCGCCCAGACUGGAGUGCAGUGGUGCGAUCUUGGCUCACUGUAAGCUCCGCCUCCCGGGUUCACCUAUUACCCUGCCUUAGCCUCCCGAGUAGCUGGGACUACAGGCACCUGCCAGCACGCCCGGCUAAUUUUUUUUUUUUUUUUUUUGAGACGGAGUUUCACUCUGUCGCCCAGGCUGGAGUGCAGUGGCAUGAUACCGGCUCAUUGCAUUCUCUCCCCUCCCUUGUUUAAGCAGUUCUCACCUCAGCCUCCCGAGGAGCUGGGAUUACAGGUGCCCAUCACCACGCCCAGCUAUUUUUUUUUGUAUAUUUAGUAGAGACGGGGUUUCACCAUCUUGGCCAGGCUGAUCUUGAACUCCUGACCUCGUGAUCCACCCGCCUCCGUCUCCCAAAGUGCUGGGAUUACAGGCAUGAGCCACCGCGCCUGGCCAACAUUUAUUUUUUAUUAUUCAGUUUUGUUUUGUUGUGUUUUGCUUUGUUUUGAGUCACGCUCGUGCUCUUGUUUCCCAGGCUGGGGCACAAUGGCUCCAUCACAGCUCACUGUUGCCUGGAACUCCCAGACUCAAGUGAUCCUCCCACCUCUACCUCCCAACUGUCCCUAGUUGGGGGCCAGGGCCUGGGCCUGGCCUGGGGAAGGAUAUGGGACCCAUGCCUGAGAGUUAAGUUUCCACUCCCUUCCUCUGUGCCCUCAUCACCCUCUGAGCUCUCACCUCCCCGGGUCCUGGGCAACUCUGAUCUCAGCCCUGAGGAUGCUAGACAAGCCCCCAACAUUUCUAAAUUUUUUGUAGAGAUGUGGGGAUCUCACUUUGUUGCCCACACUGGUCUUGAACUCUUGGCUUCAAACACUCCUUCCUCCUCAGCCUCCCAAAUUGCUGGGAUUACAGGCGGAAGCCACUGUGUCUGGCUCUUUUAAAAUUUAAUUAAAAAUUUUAAAAAGUGAAAAUUCAGACUGGGUGUGGUGGCUCACACCCAGCUGACUGACCAACAUGGUGAAACCUGUUUCUACUAAAAAUACAAAAAUUAACCAGGCAUGGUGGCAUGCUCCUGUAAUCCCAGCUACUUGGGAGGCUGAGGUGGGAGAAUCACUUGAACCCCAGAGGCGGAAGUUGCAAUGAGCCAGGAUCGUGUCACUGCACUUCAGGUUGGGAGAUGAGGAAGACUCCGUCUCAAAAAAAAAAAAAAAGGCUGGUUGCGGUGGCUCACACCUUUAAUCCCAGCACUUGGGGAGGCCGAGGUGGGCGGAUCACGAGAUCAGGAGAUCGAGACCAUCCUGGCUAACAUGGUGAAACCCCGUCUCUACCAAAAAUACAAAAACAAAAUAAGCUGGGCAUGGUGGCGGGCACCUGUAGUCCCAGCUACUGGGAGGCUGAGAUGGGACAAUGGUGUGAACCUGGGAGGCAAAGCUUGCAGUGAGCUGAGAUCACACCACUGUACUCCAGCCUGGGUGACAGAUUGAGACUCCAUCUGAAAAAAAAAAAAAAAGAAAAAGAAAAAAGAAGAAGAAAAUUCAGUUUUUUAGUUGCCCUAGCCACAUUUCAAGCACUCAUCAACCAUACGUGGCCAUAGAACAUUCUGUCAUCUCGGAGAGUUCUAUUGACAGCACUAUUCUGGACUGCAUUUCUUGGAGUUUUAAAAUUUUAUUUUAUUUUUAUUUUUAUUUUUUUUAUUUUAGAGGUGGGGUCUUGCUGUGUUGCUCAGGAUGGUCUCAAACUUCUGGCCUCAAGCAAUUACACUGCCUCAGCCUCCCCAAAUGCUGAUAUUACAGGCAAAAGCCACCAUGCCUAGCCUUGAAGAUUUUUUUUUUCUUUUAAUUUGAGACAGGGUCCUGUUCUGUCACCCAGGCUGGAGUGCAGUGGUGCAAUCUCACUUCACUGCAACCUCCACCUCCUAGGCUUAAGUGAUCCUCCCACCUCAGCCUCCUGAGUAGCUGGGACUACAGGCACACACCACCAUGCCUGGCUAAUUUUUCUGUUUUUUGUAGAGAUGGGGUUUUGACAUGUUGCCCAGGCUGAUCUCUAACUCUUGAGCUCAAAUGAUCCACGCAUAUCAGCCUCCCAAAAUACUGGGAUUAUAGGUGUGAGCCAUCACGCCAGGCACCUUGAAGAUUUUUAAGACAAGAAAUUAUCCACUUCUUUUUUUUCCCCCCAUUCUUAUUGCCCAUCUCAUGAUCUUGGCUCACUGCAACCUCCACCUCCCAGGUUCAAGUGAUUCUCUUGCCUCAGCCUCCCUGGUAGCUGGGAUUACAGGUGCCUGCCACCAUGCCAGGCUAAUUUUUAUAUUUUUAGUAGAGAUGGGGUUUCAGGCCGGGCGCGGUGGCUCAAGCCUGUAAUCCCAGCACUUUGGGAGGCCGAGACGGGUGGAUCACGAGGUCAGGAGAUCGAGACCAUCCUGGCUAACACCGUGAAACCCCGUCUCUACUAAAAAAAAUACAAAAAAACUAGCCGGGCGAGGUGGCGGGCGCCUGUGGUCCCAGCUACUCCGGAGGCUGAGGCAGGAGAAUGGCAUAAACCCGGGAGGAGAAUGGCAUAAACCCGGGAGGCGGAGCUUGCAGUGAGCUGAGAUCCGGCCACUGUACUCCAGCCCGGGCUACAGAGCAAGACUCCGUCUCAAAAAAAAAAAAAAAA
rnacentral:lncRNA from 10 species